rnacentral:rRNA from 1 species
AGCGAACGCUGGCGGCAGGCCUAACACAUGCAAGUCGAGCGGGGUUUUCGGACCUAGCGGCGGACGGGUGAGUAAUGCGUAGGAAGCUGCCCGAUAGAGGGGGAUACCAGUUGGAAACGACUGCUAAUACCGCAUAAUGUCUACGGACCAAAGUGUGGGACCUUCGGGCCACAUGCUAUCGGAUGCGCCUACGUGGGAUUAGCUAGUUGGUGAGGUAAUGGCUCACCAAGGCGACGAUCUCUAGCUGGUUUGAGAGGAUGAUCAGCCACACUGGAACUGAGACACGGUCCAGACUCCUACGGGAGGCAGCAGUGGGGAAUAUUGGACAAUGGGCGCAAGCCUGAUCCAGCCAUGCCGCGUGUGUGAAGAAGGCCUUCGGGUUGUAAAGCACUUUCAGCGAGGAGGAAGGGUGGUGUGUUAAUAGCACAUCAUUUUGACGUUACUCGCAGAAGAAGCACCGGCUAACUCUGUGCCAGCCGCCGCAGUAAAAC